UGUGGGAGCUGGCUUGCCUGCGAUUGCGGAGUGUCAGUUGAAGAAAUGUCGCUGACCCACCGCUAUCGCAGGCAAGCCAGCUCCCACA
rnacentral:misc_RNA from 1 species